rnacentral:rRNA from 1 species
UACGUAGGGUGCGAGCGUUGUCCGGAAUUACUGGGCGUAAAGAGUUCGUAGGCGGUUUGUCGCGUCGUUUGUGAAAACCCGGGGCUCAACUUCGGGCUUGCAGGCGAUACGGGCAGGCUAGAGUUCGGUAGGGGAGUCUGGAAUUCCUGGUGUAGCGGUGAAAUGCGUAGAUAUCGGGAGGAAUACCAGUGGCGAAGGCGGCUUACUGGCCCAUUCCUGACGCUGAGGAGCGAAAGCGUGGGGAGCAAACGGGG